CCUACGGGAGGCAGCAGUGAGGAAUAUUGGUCAAUGGACGGGAGUCUGAACCAGCCAAGUAGCGUGAAGGAUGACUGCCCUAUGGGUUGUAAACUUCUUUUAUAUGGGAAUAAAAUGUUCCACGUGUGGGAGUUUGUAUGUACCAGAUGAAAAAGGAUCGGCUAACUCCGUGCCAGCAGCCGCGGUAAUACGGAGGAUCCGAGCGUUAUCCGGAUUUAUUGGGUUUAAAGGGAGCGUAGGUGGAUUGUUAAGUCAGUUGUGAAAGUUUGCGACUCAACCGUAAAAUUGCAGUUGAAACUGGCAGUCUUGAGUACAGUAGAGGUGUGCGGAAUUCGUGGUGUAGCGGUGAAAUGCUUAGAUAUCACGAAGAACUCCGAUUGCGAAGGCAGCUCACUGGACGGCAACUGACACUGAGGCUCGAAAGUGUGGGUAUCAAACAGGAUUAGAUACCCGAGUAGUC
rnacentral:rRNA from 1 species